UGGGGAAUUUUGGACAAUGGGGGCAACCCUGAUCCAGCCAUGCCGCGUGAGUGAAGAAGGCCUUCGGGUUGUAAAGCUCUUUCGGCCGGGAAGAAAUCGCACGGGCUAAUACCCUGUGUGGAUGACGGUACCGUAAGAAUAAGCACCGGCUAACUACGUGCCAGCAGCCGCGGUAAUACGUAGGGUGCGAGCGUUAAUCGGAAUUACUGGGCGUAAAGCGUGCGCAGGCGGUUAUAUAAGACAGAUGUGAAAUCCCCGGGCUUAACCUGGGAACUGCGAUUGUGACUGCAAGGCUAGAGUGUGUCAGAGGGGGGUGGAAUUCCACGUGUAGCAGUGAAAUGCGUAGAGAUGUGGAGGAACACCGAUGGCGAAGGCAGCCCCCUGGGAUAACACUGACGCUCAUGCACGAAAGCGUGGGGAGCAAACA
rnacentral:rRNA from 1 species